UAAUGCUACACUAUGAAAGGAC
rnacentral:piRNA from 1 species